UACGAAGGGGGCUAGCGUUGUUCGGAAUCACUGGGCGUAAAGGGCGCGUAGGCGGCCUGAUAAGUCGGGGGUGAAAGCCUGUGGCUCAACCACAGAAUUGCCUUCGAUACUGUUGGGCUUGAGACCGGAAGAGGUAAGUGGAACUGCGAGUGUAGAGGUGAAAUUCGUAGAUAUUCGCAAGAACACCAGUGGCGAAGGCGGCUUACUGGUCCGGAACUGACGCUGAGGUGCGAAAGCGUGGGGAGCAAACAGG
rnacentral:rRNA from 1 species